GGUGGCGGAGAAACUGAGCCGCCAAGUAGUGUUGGUGGUGGAGAUAAGACUAAUGGAAGGGGUGGUGAUGGAAGAGAAGAAGAUAAUGGUGGUGGAAGAGGAGCAGAAGGUGGCGGGAGGGGUAGAACCGGAGUAGGUGGAGAUAGGAUUGGAACCGGAGAAGGCGUUGCUGAUGGUGUUGGUGGUGGUAGCACUGGAGUAGGUGGAGGUAGGAUUGGAACCGGAGAAGGCGUUGCCGAUGGUGUUGGUGGUGGCUGAGUUGGAAAUAAAGGUGGUAAUGGAGGGAGUAUAAUCGGUGUAGGGACAAAUGGGAUAACGGGUGCUACUGGUGUCGGUGGGCAAGGUACUGGUGCAG
rnacentral:lncRNA from 1 species